rnacentral:rRNA from 1 species
GGGGAUAACAGGCUGAUUCCUCCCAAGAGUUCAUAUCGACGGGGGAGUUUGGCACCUCGAUGUCGGCUCAUCACAUCCUGGGGCUGUAGCCGGUCCCAAGGGUAUGGCUGUUCGCCAUUUAAAGUGGUACGUGAGCUGGGUUUAAAACGUCGUGAGACAGUUUGGUCCCUAUCUGCCGUGGGCGUUGGAAAUUUGAAGGGGGCUGCUCCUAGUACGAGAGGACCGGAGUGGACGAACCUCUGGUGUACCGGU